rnacentral:misc_RNA from 1 species
AAGUCGUAACAAGGUUUCCGUAGGUGAACCUGCGGAAGGAUCAUUACAAAUCCACCACGUCUCUCUCCUUUCGAGACCUCGUUGAACGUGUCACACACAGGAAGAGCGAGCAGGGGAAGAGAGAGAGAGAGAGAGAGAGAGAGGGCUGCCUGCGUAUGCGCGCGCAUGCUCUCUUGCUCUUGCUCUUGCUCUUGCUCCUGCUCCUGCUCCUCUCUUCCUUGAACUUUUCUAGUUUGAUAUCAUGUUGGUUGUCAGUAGUGUGUUAUACUCUUCUUCUCCUCCCCUUUUUCCUUUUUCUUCUUCUUGGCUUGCCUGACAAGCCAAGCAAGCAGCGAAAAUGAAAGAGAGAGAGACAAAGAGAGAGAGAAAGAGUGUGUACCAUGUAACAACUUAUAACAAUGGAUCUCUAGGCUCUU